GGAAGAUGCCUGCUUCUUCUUCACCUUCUGCCAUGACUAUACAUGCUGCUCUGGGAAGGGAAUGACCUUGCGUGAAGUGGCUGAAGCUGACCCUGAAGGAGCUGACAGCUGGAGGCUCUGUGCUCACUGUAGUCCGUUCAUCUGGGUAGCAGGUCUUCCUUGAAAGGGGAUCAAGGUCACAGUGUUUGGACACCGCAUGAACAUGCCAAUUUCCUGUGUUGUAAUAUUUUUAUGCACUUUAAGAAGACCACCAGAAACAGCAGAGUGAGUGAAUGACUGAGGCGCAUAUUGGACAAAAAUCACUUAUCCAAGACCACGUUACUACAACCCCAGGGCACAGAAGCUAAGUCUUCCUAUUGUACUGAACUCAGUUGACUGGAAUUUGUUCAGGAAAGCAUGAAGUCAAAUGGAAGCUAGUCCGUGACUGGAUUCAUCUUUUGGUAAAAAACGAAGAGGAGACCCCAUAUCCUGGAGGUUCUUGCUUAACCCUGUCCCUAAUAAGACCUAACUUUAUGAGUCUUCUCCUUAGAGGCAGUCCUAGGGUAAGAGUGAUUAUUCCUGUGAGCCUUGUAGGUACUUUCGAAUCAAGGAAAUUAGUAGUUGAUUGCUAAUUAAUUCAGUAUUUAAUGAAUUUAAGUACCUAGGCAAUGAGGCCACAAUAGCAAAUAAGACACAGACCUGUUUUCAAAAAGUAGCCUGUAAAUAAGAUAUUUUUUUCUGCCAUGGUGGCAAAGGCAUGACUAUGGUGAUGAACAUUCAUAGGCUCACCUUCUAGCUCUGUUGUAUGUUAACUGUGUGAACUUGGGUCAAGUUAUGAAAACUCUAAGAACUCUCAAAACUCCUGAUCUGUUUUAACAUGAAAGUAAAGAUAUCUAAUUGAAUUGUUGUGAAACUUAAAUGUAAUGUGACAUCCAAAGAAUGUAGCCCAAAGUUGGAUUUCAGUAAGUGAUAAAUAGAAGUAUUUAAACAUGGGUAUGGUAUGUUCUGUAACAGAAGAAUGUCUAUGUGCUGGGGAUACCUAGAGACAGUGAAAAUUCUGUCUGGCCUGCGAAUUAUAAUAAAAUGACUCUUUAAAGUCAAUGAGUCUUAAUAUUUUCUCACAUCUACUUUUCUUUUUCUUUCUUUUUUUUCUUUUCUUUUUUUUUUUUUUUUUUUUUUUGAGAUGGAGUCUCACUCUGUCACCCAGGCUGGAGUGCAGUGGCACAAUCUGGGCUCACUGCAACCUCUGCCUCCCAGGUUCAAGCAAUUCUCCCACCUCAGACUCCCGAGUAGCUGGGAUUACAGGUACACACCACCAUGCCUGGCUAAUUUUUGUAUUUUUAGUAGAGACGGGGUUUUACUAUGUUGGCCAGGCUGGUCAUGAACUCCUGACCUCAGUUGAUCCACCCACCUUGGCCUCUGAAAGUGCUGGGAUUACAGGCCUGAGCCACCGCGCCCAGCCUCACGUCUACUUUUUAAGAUCAAACGCCAAAUCUUUGCCACAUCGAAUUUCUGGUUGAGUUACAUUUGGUAGUGGGUAUGAGAGGUAGUAUGGGAGGGAAGUCUUGAGUCUAGAGACUUCCAGAACAUUCAUAGUCCUCUAUAUUUCUGUCCCACUCUUGCUCUGAAGUAGGAGGAAACAUCUUUCCUUGACAUUGGCCUCUGGUUCACACACUGAUUCAAUUUUUGUCCAUGCUUUUUGGCAUAUCUCAUUUAAUUUUCACAAUUCUGAAAUGUAGAAAUUAUACUAUUUUUUACAGGUAUAAAAGGGU
rnacentral:lncRNA from 1 species